UACGUAGGGGGCAAGCGUUGUCCGGAUUUAUUGGGCGUAAAGCGCUCGCAGGCGGCCUGGCCAAGUCGUGCGUGAAAUCUCCCGGCUCAACUGGGAGCGGUCGUGCGAUACUGGUCGGCUCGAGGCCGGUAGGGGGGAGUGGAAUUCCGGGUGUAGUGGUGGAAUGCGUAGAUAUCCGGAGGAACACCAGUGGCGAAGGCGGCUCCCUGGACCGGUCCUGACGCUCAGGAGCGAAAGCGUGGGUAGCGAUCCGG
rnacentral:rRNA from 1 species